UAAGACGAAGGGGGCUAGCGUUGUUCGGAAUUACUGGGCGUAAAGCGCGCGUAGGCGGUUUUCCAAGUCAGGCGUGAAAGCCCCGGGCUCAACCCGGGAACUGCGCUUGAUACUGUGAGACUUGAGACCGGGAGAGGAUAGUGGAAUUCCCAGUGUAGAGGUGAAAUUCGUAGAUAUUGGGAAGAACACCAGUGGCGAAGGCGGCUAUCUGGACCGGUACUGACGCUGAGGCGCGAAAGCGUGGGGAGCAAACAGGAUUAGAUACCCUGGUAGUCCACGCCGUAAACGAUGAGUGCUAGACGUUGGAGGGCUUGCUCUUCAGUGUCGAAGCUAACGCGAUAAGCACUCCGCCUGGGGAGUACGGCCGCAAGGUUA
rnacentral:rRNA from 1 species